rnacentral:lncRNA from 1 species
CUCUCGGCCACCGCCAAGCAGUCAUUGAAAGGACACAGCUGCAGGAGCUGGAGGCCGAGCACUGAACAAAAGCACAGGGCGGGAGGCAGGAGUCCUGUACGUGCCCUGAACACAGUACCCUGCGGUGUGAACAACGGACUGGAAUCAGACAGGGCCGUGGCAGCCAGAAAACAAACAAAUAAAUAAAUAAGUCUUCCUGAAUCCGCAGCGACUUGGGCUGCCGUCUGUCAGAGAGCAAGGACCAAAUGGAUGGGAACUGAGCUACGGAUUCUCUGACUGCUGGAGCUCUGCCACGUCAGAGCUGAUGGGUAGCAGCACUGGCAAUAGCUCAGAAACUACUCCAUGGAGUGCCAGGUUCUGGGGUGUAUUUCAGAACUGAGUAGGGGGAGCUUGGGAAAAAGGGUGGGGGUGGCACCUGAGGUCUGCCAUUGCCUUGCCUGGGGGAAGAGACUGACGAGAGGCAGGGAGUGAACACUGACCUGCCCAGAACAACUCAGCCCAAAGAGGGGUUUGCUUCUUUUUGUAUUUGAAGAAGAUGAUGUCGCUGUGAUUCAUCAGGUGAAGAAACAAUGAGGCAGAAUGGUUCCCGCAGAGAAGGGUGGCGAGAAGAGGAGGCGCUCUGCCAUCAGAGUGGCGGUGACCAGGCGGCCUACCAUCAGCUUUCACAAGCACCUCCAAGGAGUGGGCUUCAUGGGGACUCCAAGAGACCCGGAAAUCUGCCAGGAGAUGGGAGUGCCAGAGGUGCACAUGAGCACGAGGCUCAGCCAGGGAUAAGGAACGGCCCGUAUGGUAGCUGUGUAUGGUUGACCAGAAGACGUAAUGAGGAUGAAGGUUCCCCUAGCAAGCUAUCUACACUGUUUAAACACCUAUGUACCUGUCGCC